rnacentral:rRNA from 1 species
CCUACGGGUGGCAGCAGUGAGGAAUAUUGGUCAAUGGACGAAAGUCUGAACCAGCCAUGCAGCGUGCAGGAAGACGGCUCUAUGAGUUGUAAACUGCUUUUGUACGAGGGUAAACUCAUCUACGCGUAUCUGUCUGAAAGUAUCGUACGAAUAAGGAUCGGCUAACUCCGUGCCAGCAGCCGCGGUAAUACGGAGGAUUCAAGCGUUAUCCGGAUUUAUUGGGUUUAAAGGGUGCGUAGGCGGUCUGAUAAGUUAGAUGUGAAAGCCCGAGGCUCAACUUCGGAAUUGCAUUUGAGACUGUCAGGCUAGAGAGUAGUUGCGGUAGGCGGAAUGCAUGGUGUAGCGGUGAAAUGCUUAGAGAUCACACAGAACACCGAUUGCGAAGGCAGCUUACUAAGCUACUUCUGACGUUGAGGCACGAAAGCGUGGGGAGCAAACAGGAUUAGAUACCCCUGUAGUC